UACGAAGGGAGCUAGCGUUGUUCGGAAUCACUGGGCGUAAAGCGCACGUAGGCGGAUGUGUCAGUCAGGGGUGAAAUCCCGGAGCUCAACUUCGGAACUGCCUUUGAUACUGAAGAUCUUGAGUUCGGGAGAGGUGAGUGGAACUGCGAGUGUAGAGGUGAAAUUCGUAGAUAUUCGCAAGAACACCAGUGGCGAAGGCGGCUCACUGGCCCGAUACUGACGCUGAGGUGCGAAAGCGUGGGGAGCAAACAGG
rnacentral:rRNA from 1 species